rnacentral:lncRNA from 1 species
ACUAAACUACACACCCAGUCAAUGCCUGCUCAAAUUUAAUCUCCCUAUGUUAAGUCUUGAAUCCAAGAUUUUCCCUGCUGUAGUACCAACUGUGCUCUUUUUCCAUUCCAGACAAGGACUCGAAGCCCUGGUGUGAAUAGUGCGUCUAGCACACCUGACCUAUAGGAAGAGUUCCCUACUGGAAGAAACGAACACACACAAGGACAUGUGGACAGAGGCAUAGCCUGAGUUCCUUCUCCAUCCAUUUUCAAGAUAGAAAGUCUACCAGGAAAGAAUGAGAAAGAAAACGGACAAAGACAUCAUUACCUACCGCCACCUCCUAUUUCUCAUUAUACGAGAAAGCCCAUGACAAUGGUGGGCCAGAGAAGAGUAUGCACUAGAAGGAUACAAAUUCCUUGCUGCGUCAUCUUC